ACCCCACCCGUGGACGCGCUUGAAAAAAAAAACACCCCCGAGUCAAGCGACAGCGCCUCCCAUCCCCAUCUCGAUCCGCCGCCUCCCCGCCGCCGGCCCGCAUCCUCCACCGCGCCAUCCGCCCCGCACUGCUGCCUGCCUUCCCUCCGCCGCGCCCUCCUCCCCGUGCACGGUUCGCCGACGCCGAGGCCCAGGCUGCCGCGCUCCGGGCCCGCGCCGGCUGGCUCGAGCGCAUGCCGCCAACCGCGACGGGCUGCUCGACACGCUCCUCGCCGCCACGGGCAACGGACGGUAGGACGAGGAGAGGGAGGUGGAGGCAGCGGAGGAGCCGGUAGGAUGACGAGAGGAAGGUUGAGGCGGCGGAAGAGCCAGUAGGAGUAGGAGGGGGAAGUGGAGGCAGCGGAGGAGGAGACGGGGAUGACGGGGACAGAUCGGCUACACGCCGGAGGACGAGGGCAUCGCACGGCCUACCGAUUCCUUCCUCCCCGUGCCCUGGUUACAAGGCCGUCGCUGCCGUCGCCCAACACCAACCGCCUUGCCCCGAUUAGCUCUUGGAGAUGCGGACGACAGGAUGUGCUCCAGCGCCGCCGCCUACGAGCGCCUCCCAGACGAUGAGUCGACAACAAAGCUCGGGGACGUGAUAUGGCGCUCGGUGUAGGUGGCCAUGGUGGACCUGAAGAAGCUGGCUGAGAUAAGCGAUGGGUGAGCUGCUGCUCAAAUGUCCCAUAGCAUACCGGCUGCAGCACCCCGAGCUCCUCAUUAUCUGCUCCAUGAUCAAGAUCCAUCGCCACCGACAGCCGCGCACUUGGAUGCAAGGCUUGCCCGGACGACUCUGAACCGAAACCAAUCCUAGACUGGGAGUUGUAUGCAUCGUCCAUUUGUGCAUAUCCAACCAAAGCACUUAAUUCACAGUCCGCAAAAUAGAACGACUAUGUUCAGCCACUAUCAGACUUUGGUGGUGUACCCCGGCUGCCAAACCAUGCUUUGCCAACCUACUAGAGGAAAGGCGAGGCUCACCAAGGGAUGAUCCUUCCACCGGAAGGGUAAUUAAUUUGCAUGCCUGAUUAUCGAAAAAAGAAGCCCUUCUGAACAUUACUUAUCCUCGAUGAGGGGAGACCGGCCAAAAGAGGAGCAAGCAAAUGAUAAGUUCGUACUCAACAUUUUGACAUUCAACAUGUAUGUACUACAAUUUCAGAAGGUCAAUAAUACCCAAUGCAUUGCCUUCCAUGAACUUUGCCAGCGGAAGAAGAAUAUCCGUCGAGCCGUCCAUCUCUUGAGGCGGCUACACCGGAGGUGGCAGAGGCGUCCGAUCGAACUCAGGUAGAGGCCGGAGGUUUGUUUCUCGGACAUGCCAGCAAUCACUCUCGAUGACACCAAUAAUGUGACGUCAUGAUUCGUGAAGGCCACCACAACUCAUCUUCAAGACCUCCUCUGCUAUCGUGUGUCGCGUUGUGCUCGUGCUAUUCCUAAUUUGGAUCAAUUGUAGACCGUGUCCUUGUAGAACACAAUUCAAUGGAGUGCCCAACCCGGAUUGUUGCUCUCUGCUAUAAGAAGGAAGGGUAGUCGGCUGGAAUCUCCAUCAUGUCAAUUUUGCACGAAACAUCCAAUGUCUUCGCCGAGUUCGUUGGAGGAAGAAGCAUCGAGUUCGCCGGAGGUACAAGAACAUCCGUCGAGCACUCCAAUGUCACCUGCAGCGGCUACACCAGAGGUCCUUAAGAUGAGUGAUGAACAUCCGUCAAGCCAUCCAAUGUUGCAUGUGGCGGCUACACCAGAGGUAUAUAUCCCCUUGAAAGCUAAUCAGUUCAUAGAAGCCCCUAUUUAAGUUAAUUGUUUCUUAAUGGGUGCCUCUGUUUCAUGUUGACAAGAGCAACAAAAAGGUUAGAAUUUCAUGGUGAUGAGUGAGCAUAAGAUGUUAUGAGAAUAUGUUUGCUUGAUUGUACAGAUGUAGGUUUCCGUAUACUUUGUUUUUUCUGAUCCAUUCCAUGUAUAGGCGUUCUUGUUAACAGCAUAGGUUCAGGCCAUAUUUAAUUAUCAACUAAUUAUCAAGUGGAGUUGCAGAUCAUGAAUAGGGGAAUGAUCAUAGAUGGCCACACCUGCAGUUCAAUUUAUCUUGAUGGAGAGGCACUUGAUUCACAAGUAGUUUUAGUGUUUUUUCUAGAUAGCUCAAGUACUUAAAGCUUCUGCAAUCAUGAUAAUCAAAAGAAGGGACCAUUAGUCAGGUUCAAUUAACCAAAUGCUUCCCAUGUAUUAACCUGUAUAUGUUGAUAUAGAUGCACGCGAUUCGCAAGUAGUUUUAGCAUUUUAGUCUCAUGACAUUCAUGAUUUUGGGAUCCAACCUUUGACUAAAUUAUAUAUCACACCCACUGAUGGUAGAGCCCUAGAACUGUUUGAAUGCCAAAUAUCCUGGACGAUCAACCUUUAGUUUGAACUUUGGAUCCAUUUCUUAUCUCCAGUGAGCAUUUUUAUAAAUAAUAUCCAAUUAUGUAGCGCUAGCUCGAGCCUUGAACACUAUUUUUCUUGUUUUCUUUUUUAAAACCGCCAACAACAUUCAUUCAAAUUCAUCUCUUAUUUCUGUAAUACAUGCUUUCAAGGAAAACUAUAUAUGCAACUACUAUAGGGAAUAAAUGCUAUGCAUGUUAGCCAGCAGAAAUCUUAUGUGUUUGAGUUUGUAAUCCAUCUGAAACUAAUAAUUUCGCCACGAACAGUCUGAAUUUGGAUAGGACCCUUGCCCAGAUCAUAUAGUUCUAGCUAUUCACUUUAUAUUGGUCCAACGUUUGGCAGUCCAUGUUUCUCUGUUUGUUCCCUAUUUGAUUAAAAUCCAUGAACAAAUAAGUGCUGUUUCUCCCUGUUUUAUCAAGUUUGAAAGUCUGAAUUUCGAUAGGACCCUUGCGCAGAUCACAUAGUUCUAGCUGUUCAUAUUAUUUUAUUUUAUAUUGGCUGUAAAUGACUUUCAGUUUUUAGCUUUCAUAAAAUUUAGACAUGUACUCUUUAACAGUAUGCUGUGGUGAUGGUUGUCCUGUGUGCUGGUUGGAUAAUAUUGCUUUUACUAGCAGUCGCAAUGCUCUUAAUUAUUAUUUUAUUUCCACAAAUAUCAUCUUGUUUUGCUAUUUAUGUAAUACUAUAUACGUUCACUGAAAGCAAACCUUUCAGUUGCUGCUGUGGUCCUCUUAUUAUUGUUAUUUAGAGUUCAAAAUCCAUCAA